rnacentral:lncRNA from 1 species
UUAAACAUCUCUUCUUCAUAUUUAAUCUUGUUUCACAUUUUCCAUAUCUGCUCUAUGAAUAGAACCACCACUUUCAUCCAUAGUUGCUUUAUGACUACAAUUAUUGGCUGCUUCUAAAAUGACAUUUUAGUUGUGAGGUAUCUCAAAUCUAGAAUUCCAUCGCCAUGCUUCCUUAGACUUUGAACAUCCUCGUAUUAAGUGGUUUGUUGUCUCCCUGCCCAUUUUACAUAUACUGGAAACUGAAGCCCUUUGUACGGUUUUUUUUUUAUGAUAUUUUCAUCAGCCAAAAGAUCCAACUUGGGUUAUUCAAUCUGUUAUCUCAGUGGUUGUUCCCAUUAGUGCAUCCUUUACCUAUGUUUUCUGCAAGCAUAUUGAUAACUAACUGUUUGUUAAUAAGAUAUAAAAAUAAAUAUUGGAAAGACAUCCAUUUGAUAAGAUAUUUUAUCACCUAUAUUCUUAAAGCUAAGACGCAACAUAGUGUUUGUGUACGACUACCCUUUAUAUCAAAUUUUAAUUAUUUUUAUUUUUUGUAUGUGUGAAAAAAACCAUAGCUUCAACAUACAUAAAUAUAAAAAAAAAAUGUAGCUAGACAUUCAUAUUCAUAUAGAAUAGAUUUCCAACUGUAUAUAUAACCCAAGUUGGAAAUUGUCAACAAUAAUAUUCUGCUAAUAUAUGAGAUAGGACCUUACCAUCAAGUGGGGCAAAUUCAAUUGCGUAAGCUCAAGUCCAACCAAGAUGUAACAUGCGAUUAUUGAAGAAAAUUUAGCCAAAAC